ensembl:lncRNA
UUUAAGAUGUUAAAAAAGUUAACACAGAGGUUGAAUCUAGAUUGUGUUAAAAAAAAUGUUGAAGCCAGUGAAUUUACAUGAUGGUGUUAUUUAGGGCUGCACAAUUAAUAGAAUUUCUAAUCGCGAUUAGAUUAUGGAUGCCACAAUUACGUAAUCGUUUAAAGCGGCAAUUAAUCGUUCAAAGUUCACUUAUGUUAUUCUGCAUGCUUAAGAUAUGUUUUUUUCUUUCUACAUGUUAUCUUAAGGGUUUUUCCAUUGUUUUAGUUUUGGUUUUAUAUAUAAUUUAAAGACAAAACCAAUCUGAUGUAUAUUUGACAUUUGAGGCUUAAUACACUUAAUAAAAGCACUAAAGGUUUUUCAGUUAGAGUGUUUUCAGGCUUUUUUAUUUUCAUAUAAAAAUGCGGAAUGCAGUUGCAUUAAACAAUGGUAUAAACAUCAUUCAAUGUAAAUUGUGAUAAUCGUAAUUAAUAAUCGUAAUUACAGUAAUCAACAAUUAUGAUUUUUGUAAUAAUCGUGCAGCCCUAGUGUUAUUUUCACAGGGUCCUCGUGGACCUGCAGGACAAGUUGGAGUGCAAGGAAUUAUGGUGAGAAAUGCUUUUAUUACUUUAAAUCCCAAAACUUGGAACAAGGUGAAAAUAUCAAAAUAUUUAUAUGUAAGAAUAAUUUUAUAUAAAGAAUACUUAAAUACCUUGAAUAUCCUUAUAUUCAUAUAUGUUUUUGUGUCUUAAUCUGAAAGGGACCUCCAGGCCCACAAGGCAGACCAGGACCCCCUGGACCCCCUGGAGAACCGACAGCACUACCUAUUGUUGGAGACAUGGGGACAUUAUUGAAGAACGCCUGCAGUGUGUGUCAGACCAGAGUACCAGGAUUGCCAGGGCAGAAAGGAGAAAAAGGUUCCCUUGGAACUCCAGGUAUCCCAGGAAUGGAUGGAGAAAAGGGGGAUCAGGGUCUUCGGGGCCCAGCUGGUAAUCCUGGAAAAGAGGGUCCGAAGGUAAGCCGCCCUAAAUCAGAGAUUAGAGAAGAGAAUCGUGUGAUUGGCAGACAUAUGAGCUUUAGCUAUAAUUCUGGAAGUGCAUUUCCUCUGUUACAACAAGGCAUUGCAGGGCAAAUAUAUUACACAUGGUGCAACAGUAGCAAAUAA